rnacentral:piRNA from 1 species
UGAACAAAAUGUGUGAGCAACGUGGUC